rnacentral:rRNA from 1 species
AGAGUUUGAUCCUGGCUCAGGACGAACGCUGGCGGCGCGCCUAACACAUGCAAGUCGAACGGAGCUGAGAGGAGCUUGCUUUUCUUAGCUUAGUGGCGAACGGGUGAGUAACGCGUGAGUAACCUGCCCUGGAGUGGGGGACAACAGUUGGAAACGACUGCUAAUACCGCAUAAGCCCACGGUACCGCAUGGUACUGAGGGAAAAGGAUUUAUUCGCUUCAGGAUGGACUCGCGUCCAAUUAGCUAGUUGGUGAGGUAACGGCCCACCAAGGCGACGAUUGGUAGCCGGACUGAGAGGUUGAACGGCCACAUUGGGACUGAGACACGGCCCAGACUCCUACGGGAGGCAGCAGUGGGGGAUAUUGCACAAUGGGGGAAACCCUGAUGCAGCGACGCCGCGUGGAGGAAGAAGGUCUUCGGAUUGUAAACUCCUGUUGUUGAGGAAGAUAAUGACGGUACUCAACAAGGAAGUGACGGCUAACUACGUGCCAGCAGCCGCGGUAAAACGUAGGUCACAAGCGUUGUCCGGAAUUACUGGGUGUAAAGGGAGCGCAGGCGGGAAGACAAGUUGGAAGUGAAAUCCAUGGGCUCAACCCAUGAACUGCUUUCAAAACUGUUUUUCUUGAGUAGUGCAGAGGUAGGCGGAAUUCCCGGUGUAGCGGUGGAAUGCGUAGAUAUCGGGAGGAACACCAGUGGCGAAGGCGGCCUACUGGGCACCAACUGACGCUGAGGCUCGAAAGUGUGGGUAGCAAACAGGAUUAGAUACCCUGGUAGUCCACACCGUAAACGAUGAUUACUAGGUGUUGGAGGAUUGACCCCUUCAGUGCCGCAGUUAACACAAUAAGUAAUCCACCUGGGGAGUACGACCGCAAGGUUGAAACUCAAAGGAAUUGACGGGGGCCCG